rnacentral:tRNA from 1 species
GGAGGGUAAGCUCAGUAGUAGAGUGCAUGCUUAGCAUGCAUGAGGUCCUGCGUUCAAUCCCUAGUCCCUCUA